GGGCGUGAAGGGUUCGGGCAUUGGGAUAUGGUGCCAGUACGGUGGUUCGAUUCCACCCACGUCCA
rnacentral:tRNA from 1 species